CCCGGCUGCGCCCCGCUAACUCGACACCCACACACUACCUUUUUUCAGAUGCGGCCGCGACAGCCACUGGACCUAGGAGAGCGCUCGGACGCCAUGUUGGCUUCCGGCAAAGCUCUCCGCAAAGGUUCUACGCACGCGCAAUGACGCGCCGAACACCGACGUCUCACGAAACGCAUGCGCGCCUGAAACUCCACAAACUACCCGCUCCUUACUUCUCCGGCACCAUAGGGCGUAUUGUGUCAUCAUCAAGAGUUUGGGAUCUAAGACAGUGAUGAAAGAGACCUUAAAAGUCAUGAAAUCCAGACAUUUUCAAGUGAGGAAACAGGUCCAAAGAGGUCACGGCACUUAUUCAAUGUCCCACAAUCUCCAUAGCAGAGCAUCUGAAAGGAACAUCUUCCGCCUGUGUCAGCAUUUCCCAUUGUUCUGGAGGUUGUUAUUACUCAUUAUUUUUAACUAACCUGUAAGAUUCUACAAGCAAACAUAUUCAAAAUUGAUAUUGUCCUUGGAUGUUUCUUGGUAAGAAGACAAAGUAUUUCUUUGUUUCCCCCUUUUAACUUGGUUAUUUGUUUGUUACAUUUAAAUACCUAGUUAACUACCUCCUUCUGUCUCCUCCAUUAGAGAAGGCAUCAUCUGACAAAAAGAUACAUGUAUCUGAUAAAAAUACAUUUAUAUAUGUUUCUAUAAUGCAC
rnacentral:lncRNA from 1 species